AACGAACGCUGGCGGCAUGCCUAACACAUGCAAGUCGAACGAGACCUUCGGUCUAGUGGCGCACGGGUGCGUAACGCGUUGGGAAUCUGCCCUUGGGUUCGGAAUAACACGCCGAAAGGCGUGCUAAUACCGGAUGAUGUCGUAAGACCAAAGAUUUAUCGCCCAGGGAUGAGCCCGCGUAAGAUUAGGUAGUUGGUGAGGUAAAGGCUCACCAAGCCGACGAUCUUUAGCUGGUCUGAGAGGAUGAUCAGCCACACUGGGACUGAGACACGGCCCAG
rnacentral:rRNA from 1 species